GUUUUUGUUUAAGUUCCAAAGGUUUCCCCGAGUUUGCAUUCAGUAACGAAAAACAUUUCAAGUAUAUCAGUAUUAACAGUGAUAUAAUCUCAAUCAUAAAAAUGAACAAACUUACGUUGGUUGUUGCGGUGAUGGUCAUACUCACAAUUUCGAGGGCGCAGGAAGAAGUUCCAAAAGCGCAGACGACACCUAAACCCACAGAAAAUCACAGAGGAAAUGACGCCGGUGGUUCAGAUACCGAGUCACGGUUACACUCAAUACAUCAAAGAUUCAUGGCAAAAGCUGGAGAAAUCCCACGUCGUAACCAUAGAAACCUUGGACACCAUGGAGGACAUGCGCAAUAUUAAUUGGAAUGUUUACUUAUUGCAUCUUAUUUCACAUUGCUCUUUUUUGUGCUUGACAUACAAAUUGACAUACUGAUAAUUAACUUUAAAAACACUUGUGACCUGAUGUUGUUGCUUUUAGUAAUACCUUAUGGCACCAAUGACGUAUGAAGGUCAAAUAAAGAUGAAUCAUGGGAAAUCUUCUAGUAUUUCGGCUUUAACUGUACUUUCCGUGAAAUAA